UACAGGCUUAACACAUGCAAGUCGAGGGGCAGCAUGGUCUUAGCUUGCUAAGGCCGAUGGCGACCGGCGCACGGGUGAGUAACACGUAUCCAACCUGCCGAUAACUCUGGGAUAGCCUUUCGAAAGAAAGAUUAAUACCGGAUAGUAUACGAAUAUCGGUCAUCGAUGGGGAUGCGUUCCAUUAGGUUGUUGGCGGGGUAACGGCCCACCAAGCCUUCGAUGGAUAGGGGUUCUGAGAGGAAGGUCCCCACAUUGGAACUGAGACACGGUCCAAACUCC
rnacentral:rRNA from 1 species